CCUACGGGAGGCAGCAGUAGGGAAUCUUCCGCAAUGGACGAAAGUCUGACGGAGCAACGCCGCGUGAGUGAUGAAGGUUUUCGGAUCGUAAAGCUCUGUUGCCAGGGAAGAACGUCUUNUGGAGUAACUGCCANGAGAGUGACGAUACCUGAGAAGAAAGCCCCGGCUUACUACGUGCCAGUAGCCGCGGUAAUACGUAGGGGGCAAGCGUUGUCCGGAAUUAUUGGGCGUAAAGCGCGCGCAGGCGGCUGUUUAAGUCUGGUGUAUAAUCGUGGGGCUCAACUCCGGGGUCGCACUGGAAACUGGACGGCUGGAGUGCAGAAGAGGAGAGUGGAAUUCCACGUGUAGCGGUGAAAUGCGUAGAGAUGUGGAGGAACACCAGUGGCGAAGGCGACUCUCUCGGCUGUAACUGACGCUGAGGCGCGAAAGCGUGGGGAGCAAACAGGAUUAGAUACCCUGGUAGUCCACGCCGUAAACGAUGAGUGCUAGGUGUUAGGGGUUUCGAUACCCUUGGUGCCGAAGUAAACACAUUAAGCACUCCGCCUGGGGAGUACGGCCGCAAGGCUGAAACUUAAAGGAAUUGACGG
rnacentral:rRNA from 1 species